UCCACUACGCAGCUCUGCAGCUCGCUCGUGUAUGGAGGGGCUAGUCGUAAGGUGUUUGGCUGAAUGCGCAGCACAAGGAUGCGAAGGUGGCGCCCCUGACGAAGGUGGCGCACCUGCAUGGUAAUGCUGCUCCACACCAUCGCCGUGCAGCGGCACAAAUCCUCACCUGCCCGUCAAUUUGGUGCUAGCAGCGGCGCAAAUUCUCACCUGGCCGUCGAUUCGCCGCCGUUGUGAGGGUAGUGCACGAGGAGCAAAAUUCCAUGUUGGCAGGAGGAGAGCAGGGAAGAGCAAAAUCUCACCUUUCUUUUUCCGGCGGAGAUGAGGCGGCGCCUUCAUAGUCCAGGAACUGCUCUACAACACCAACUAUGUGGUCGAUGAGCUUGAUCACUACAGGCUCCAGCAGAAGCUCCAACCAGGUAGUCCUGGUAACACGUUAUUUCAGAUCAAGUUAUCUGUUGAACUGCUUGCUAAUUGGUAAUUCCAAAUUCAUUUUUCUUGGUCCAGUCUUUUAUCUUAGAGACAUUGCUGGGCACGAAUGGACAUGGAACAGAACAAACUGUUGAGAGAAAAUGUUGAAUCGCCACUGAAUCUUGCAGCAACACUGAAUCUUAUCUAGCUAAAUUUAGUGUAAAUUCAGUGUCAAAACAUGUCUAAAUUCAGUAUCAAAACAUUUUACUCCGGAGUAAGACAAGGAUUUUAGUUCUAUUUAUGAAAAUAUAAGAGGAACAUUUUUUACUCCGGAGUGGCUGCAUCUUUCAAAUGUCUGGAUGCAAAAGGGGUGAUAUGGUGCAUCCAGGCAGAUCUUGUGGUAUCCAUGGAUAGUGUACUAUGGAGUGAUUGUGGAUUCUAAAUCCUUGAGUCUCUGUCUGCAACCUGCUGGUCUCAUAUGAGUCAUGGGCAUGCUUGAUGCAGAAUUGGCCAGUGUAAAUUUCAGUAUGCAUUCUUGUGUGGUACAUAAACGGAGUAUUCUCAAAUUAUUCAGUCAAAACAUUACAUGAUGUUUUGGUGAUCUUAUUUUGUAACUGUAACGAAGUGCUCUAGACACAAUUUCUUUAGUAGAUUCCCUGUAAUAACAUAAGGAUGUUAUAUUGGAGAACAUCACAAUCUUUCCAUCACAAAUUUGAAAUGAUUCUGGAUGCACUUUCUUC